rnacentral:lncRNA from 7 species
CAGUUUGUUGCAGAGCGUGGGCAGUAAAUGCAAAGAAAAAACACAGUUGCAGAAAUUGCUAGCAAUAGACUAUACAAGAUAGAGCCAAAUUGAGCAAAAAAAAAGACCAUUCCCAUUUGGAUCACCAUUCCCUAACCACAGCAAAAUGAAGGUGGAAAAUUGAGUAGUUGAGUGCCGUGUAUGCACAUGAGCAGGUAGUCAUGUUCCCUUAUUUCAUAUCCUUUGGAUCUACUCAUAUUAUAUGAAAGCAAACCUGAAACUGAAGUCAGAAAUCUAUUUUAUUUUUCUUUUAGUAUUUAUUAUGACUAUCUGUAUUUAUCACGCAGGGCUAAUACUUUAUAAGAAAUGUGCUGGUUCUUGAUACUCCUCCAACCAGUUGUAGAAGAAUUCUGGUUUGGCUGAAGUAGUUUUACAUCCGAAAGAUGGACUUUGUACAGAUAUAUUCUCUGUCAACAAUAUGUAUAUCCAGGCGGAGAUGAACUUGGAGGGAAGCAGAUUUACAGUUUGGUGAUAUUAUAUAUUAUCAAUCGCAGUUUAUUAAUGUUGCGCUUCUUCUCUAUUAUCAAACUAUUCACACAAGACUUCAUGUGUGCGUGUGUGAAAGAUUUUAUUAGUGUAAGGUCUUUAGGGACAGUUCACAUUGAAGUUCUGGUGCCUACAUAAAUUGUAAACCAUACAUGUUGACAUGGGUACACAUCUCAUGGCUAUAUACAACUUUGACAUGAGGUUUAUCUUAAGAUUGUGUGUUCCAAUAAAAGCUGUUACUAUUUCUUGCAUGUGCAUGUCUUUAGGAUAUACAUUUUUCUUUAUAGAUUUAUUUAUUUACAUCGCUUACUGCUUACUAGCCUAUUUUUUCUAGCAAUUUCUGCAAGUCGACCCAUCGUGUUGAACUAAACCAUCUCUAAUUUCCUACAGCUUCAACUCCAACAACAGGUACCUAUAAUUACCACAUCCACCCUUCCCCUGUUUUAUUUGUAGCCCAUUGAUUCAUGUCUAUAUUGACUUAUUUUCUUGCUACAUUUCUAUACAUAUACUCCAUGGUAACAUUAUACAUUCAUUUUCUAUUCAUGUUACAUUGACAAAUACAUAGAUAGUACAUGCAGUUUCUGAUGAUUAUAUCUACGUACAUACAUGUACUUUCAUCGUAAUAUGUAAGGGAUAUUCAAGUUACUGACAUAAAUACUCACAUUGACUUUAUAUAAUGACAAAUCAAAAUCCACAUUUGGUUCCCAUAAAUGUACAUGUCUUCAAGAUAUACAUUUUCAUUUCCAUAUUCAAGUUACAGAGAUUACUAACACCUUCAUAGCCUAUUUUCUAACUGAUUCUGUAGGAUGGCCCCACACACUUAAUGAAAACAUCUCUAAUUUCUAGCAAAUUCGACUCCGAGGACAAUAAGUAAGUUUACAUAACACAUCCAUCCUGCCCCAUUUAAUUUGUAUCCCAUUAAUUCAUGUCUAUAUUGACUUAUUGCCUUACAACAUUUCCAUAUAUAUACCCUGCGAAAAGCUUACAUAUUCAUUUCCUCUUCAUGUUCUAUCUAUACAUAUGUAGAGAAAUUUGUUGCAUUUAUUGUUUCUUUACAUCUGAUUUUGUUCUGCAGAGGUACCACAAUGGACUUCUUAAGAAGAAUAGGAAUCGUGUACAUAAGCUUUUUUGCUCUAAUAAAAUAAGAGUGGUAAUGGAAGCUCUUUGUC